rnacentral:rRNA from 1 species
GACGAACGCUGGCGGCGUGCUUAACACACGCAAGUCGAACGGAAAGGCCCUGCUUUUGUGGGGUGUUCGAGUGGCGAACGGGUGAGUAACACGUGAGUAACCUGCCCUUGACUUUGGGAUAACUUCAGGAAACUGGGGCUAAUACCGGAUAGGAGCUCCUGCUGCAUGGUGGGGGUUGGAAAGUUUCGGCGGUUGGGGAUGGACUCGCGGCUUAUCAGCUUGUUGGUGGGGUAGUGGCUUACCAAGGCUUUGACGGGUAGCCGGCCUGAGAGGGUGACCGGCCACAUUGGGACUGAGAUACGGCCCAGACUCCUACGGGAGGCAGCAGUGGGGAAUAUUGCACAAUGGGCGGAAGCCUGAUGCAGCAACGCCGCGUGCGGGAUGACGGCCUUCGGGUUGUAAACCGCUUUCGCCUGUGACGAAGCGUGAGUGACGGUAAUGGGUAAAGAAGCACCGGCUAACUACGUG